GACGAACGCUGGCGGCGUGCUUAACACAUGCAAGUCGAACGGAAAGGCCCUGCUUUUGUGGGGUGCUCGAGUGGCGAACGGGUGAGUAACACGUGAGUAACCUGCCCUUUACUUUGGGAUAACUUCCGGAAACUGGGGCUAAUACCGGAUAGGAGCUCCUGCUUCAUGGUGGGGGUUGGAAAGUUUCGGCGGUUGGGGAUGGACUCGCGGCUUAUCAGCUUGUUGGUGGGGUAGUGGCUUACCAAGGCUUUGACGGGUAGCCGGCCUGAGAGGGUGACCGGCCACAUUGGGACUGAGGUACGGCCCAGACUCCUACGGGAGGCAGCAGUGGGGAAUAUGGCAGAAUGGGCGGAAGCCUGAUGCAGCAACGCCGCGUGCGGGAUGACGGCCUUCGGGUUGUAAACAGGUUACGCCUGUGACGAAGCGUGAGUGACGGUAAUGGGUAAAGAAGCACCGGCUAACUACGUG
rnacentral:rRNA from 1 species